UGAUUCCCAAAAGCAGCUUCAUCACCGAAA
rnacentral:piRNA from 1 species